AUUUGGAGGUAACUAUAGGGCUUCUGUUCAACCUUCAACAGAAUCUGGAAUCACCAAUGAACUUCUCAACCACUGCAGGUCAAAAAUGUCAUCUGUGACCACCACUAUUUGCCAAGAAGUAGAGACAGAACAGAAAGUUAUCAAGAGAAGACAGUAUAAUUCAAUGGAAAGAGUAAUAGCACAACUUAUGAGAAAUGAGGCAAAGCCACAAAGACAAAUCUACUUUGUAUCAAUGGCACAUGUGGGAAGUGGAACAGUGCAAAACAUGACAAAUGACAGGGAGGCAUUUUGGCCUAUCAUGUCUUAAUUUACAAAAUUCAUCUGUGGAUUAAAAAUAACCUUCCUGAAGGACCUACAACAAGAAAAUGCUAUUUGUUAUAUAGGAUGAACUUCUAGAUAAGAGAAGAAAAAAUCAUGGUGAUGUAUAGAGGAUACCAAUAAAAACUUGUUUGUAAAAAUGUUAAGUACAUAUGCGGUGUAUUGGAAAAAAAAUAUCACUACAACUGA